GACGAACGCUGGCGGCGUGCUUAACACAUGCAAGUCGAACGGUGAAGGCGGAGCUUGCUCCGCUGGAUCAGUGGCGAACGGGUGAGUAACACGUGGGCAACCUGCCCCUCACUUCGGGAUAACUCCGGGAAACCGGGGCUAAUACCGGAUAUGACCUCCUUGGGCAUCCUUGGAGAUGGAAAGUUUUUCGGUGAGGGAUGGGCCCGCGGCCUAUCAGCUUGUUGGUGAGGUAGUGGCUCACCAAGGCGACGACGGGUAGCCGGCCUGAGAGGGCGACCGGCCACACUGGAACUGAGACACGGCCCAGACUCCUACGGGAGGCAGCAGUGGGGAAUAUUGCGCAAUGGGCGAAAGCCUGACGCAGCAACGCCGCGUGCGGGAUGACGGCCUUCGGGUUGUAAACCGCUUUCAGCAGGGAAGAAGCCGCAAGGUGACGGUACCUGCAGAAGAAGCACCGGCUAACUACGUGCCAGCCGCCGCCGUAAUAC
rnacentral:rRNA from 1 species